UAACUUACUCUAAAUCUAUACGGCUUCUU
rnacentral:piRNA from 1 species